GGCUGGUCCGAUGGUAGUGGGUUAUCAGAACUUAUUAACAUUAGUGUCACUAAAAUUGGUAUACAACCGCCCACUGCUAUAUUUGACUGGCUAAAA
ensembl:Y_RNA Y_RNA Y RNA